UAAGGCAAACCUGCCCAGUGAAACUUUCAACGGCCGCAGUACCCUGACUGUGCAAAGGUAGCAUAAUCACUUGUCUUAUAAUUGAAGACUAGAAUGAACGGUAUAAUGUAAGCAUCUCUGUCUCAUUAAUAUCUAUAAAAAUUAAUUUAGUGGUACAAAAGCCAUUAUAAAAUUAAUAGACGAGAAGACCCUAUUGAGCUUUAUUUAUAAAUAUUUAUUAAAAUAAUAAACAAUUUUGUUGGGGCGACAAAGGAACAAAUUUUAGCUUCCUACUAAUAUUUCUAUUAAAAUUUAUUCGAUCCAAUAUAUAUUGACCAAAUAAAAAGUUACCAUAGGGAUAACAGCAUAAUUCUUUUUAAGAGCCCAAAUCGAAAAAAGAGCUUGUGACCUCGAUGUUGGACUAAGGUAAUAUUAAAACGCAGUAGUUUUUAAAUCACAGUCUGUUCGACUGAUAA
rnacentral:rRNA from 1 species